CAUGAGAAAGGAAGCAGACCAAGUCACCCAACAACAGCCUUUAGGUUAUCCGACUGAAAACCCUCCAAGUGAAAAGAAGGAGAAGAAGAAACGUUGGGCGCGGAGCAAGCCCAAGGGAGAGCGAGGCUGUAUUGAAGGAUGCUUGUUUGCAUUAUGUUGCUGCUGGAUAUGUGAGAUUUGCUUUGACUAAAGCUGAGGGGGCUGGAGUGUCUGAAUCUCUUGAUUUGAAUUCCUUAUCCUAUACUACCACCAAUGUUGUUUCCUAGGAUGUAACCAUAACUCUUAAGACUAAAGCUGUGUGUUUCAGUGUGUGUAUGUGUGUUUCUUGAUUCUACCCAACAGAGAGAUGUAAUGAUGCAUGUAUAAUUAGCCCUGUCUGUUUAUUCAGAACUUCAUGAGAUUGUUACUUCAGUGAAAUCAAA